UGCGGAGGGUGCAAGCGUUAUCCGGAUUCACUGGGUUUAAAGGGUGUGUAGGCGGGCGUUUAAGUCAGUGGUGAAAUCUCCAGGCUCAACCUGGAAACUGCCAUUGAUACUAUUCGUCUUGAAUAUCGUUGAGGUAGGCGGAAUAUAUCAUGUAGCGGUGAAAUGCUUAGAUAUGAUAUAGAACACCGAUUGCGAAGGCAGCUUACUAAACGAUCAUUGACGCUGAGGCACGAAAGCGUGGGGAUCAAACAGG
rnacentral:rRNA from 1 species